rnacentral:rRNA from 1 species
GACGAACGCUGGCGGCACGCUUAACACAUGCAAGUCGAACGAAGAUGUUUCACCGUAGCUUGCUACACCGAGACAUUUUAGUGGCGGACGGGUGAGUAACACGUGAGCAAUCUGCCUUUCAGAGGGGGAUACCAGUUGGAAACGACUGUUAAUACCGCAUAAUGUACAAUUGUCGCAUGGCAUAUGUACCAAAGAUUUAUCGCUGAGGGAUGGCCUCGCGUCUGAUUAGAUAGUUGGUGAGGUAACGGCCCACCAAGUCUGCGAUCAGUAGCCGGACUGAGAGGUUGAUCGGCCACAUUGGGACUGAGACACGGCCCAGACUCCUACGGGAGGCAGCAGUAGGGAAUAUUGCGCAAUGGGGGCAACCCUGACGCAGCAACGCCGCGUGAUUGAUGAAGGUCUUCGGAUUGUAAAAAUCUUUAAUUAGGGACGAAUAAAUGACGGUACCUAAAGAUAAGCUCCGGCUAACUACGUGCCAGCAGCCG